GACGAACGCUGGCGGCGUGCUUAACACAUGCAAGUCGAACGGAAAGGCCCUGCUUUUGUGGGGUGCUCGAGUGGCGAACGGGUGAGUAACACGUGAGUAACCUGCCCUUGACUUUGGGAUAACUUCAGGAAACUGGGGCUAAUACCGGAUAGGAGCUCCUGCUGCAUGGUGGGGGUUGGAAAGUUUCGGCGGUUGGGGAUGGACUCGCGGCUUAUCAGCUUGUUGGUGGGGUAGUGGCUUACCAAGGCUUUGACGGGUAGCCGGCCUGAGAGGGUGACCGGCAAAAUUGGGACUGAGAUACGGCCCAGACUCCUACGGGAGGCAGCAGUGGGGAAUAUUGCACAAUGGGCGGAAGCCUGAUGCAGCAACGCCGCGUGCGGGAUGACGGCCUUCGGGUUGUAAACCGAUUUCGCCUGUGACGAAGCGUGAGUGACGGUAAUGGGUAAAGAAGCACCGGCUAACUACGUG
rnacentral:rRNA from 1 species